rnacentral:snoRNA from 1 species
CGUAAUGAUGAUUGGCUUUUUUAUGUUCAACUGCUCUUAUGACCAUGAAAGAAAUUGCCUAUCUGAACAAUA